rnacentral:misc_RNA from 1 species
UACGGAGGGUGCAAGCGUUAUCCGGAAUCACUGGGCGUAAAGGGCGUGUAGGUGGUUCAUCAAGUCUGAUGUUAAAUUCCGGGGCUCAACCCCGGGUCGGCGUCGGAUACUGAUGGGCUUGACGACUGGAGAGGUGAGUGGAAUUACCAGUGUAGCGGUGGAAUGCGUAGAUACUGGUAGGAACACCCAUUGCGAAGGCAGCUCACUGGACAGUCCGUGACACUGAGACGCGAAAGUGUGGGGAGCAAACCGG